rnacentral:rRNA from 1 species
UACGGAGGGUGCAAGCGUUAUCCGGAUUCACUGGGUUUAAAGGGUGCGUAGGUGGGCAAGUAAGUCAGUGGUGAAAUCUCCGGGCUUAACCCGGAAACUGCCAUUGAUACUAUAGGUCUUGAAUUAUCUGGAGGUGAGCGGAAUAUGUCAUGUAGCGGUGAAAUGCUUAGAUAUGACAUAGAACACCAAUUGCGAAGGCAGCUCACUACGGAUAUAUUGACACUGAGGCACGAAAGCGUGGGGAUCAAACAGG